UGGGGAAUCUUGCGCAAUGGGCGAAAGCCUGACGCAGCGACGCCGCGUGGGUGAUGAAGGCCUUCGGGUUGUAAAGCCCUGUGGGGGGAGACGAACUGUACGAGGUGAACAAUCUUGUACUCUGACGGUAUCCCCUUAGCAAGCACCGGCUAACUCUGUGCCAGCAGCCGCGGUAAGACAGAGGGUGCAAACGUUGUUCGGAAUUACUGGGCGUAAAGCGCAUGUAGGCGGCUUUGUAGGUCGGAUGUGAAAGCCCUUGGCUCAACCAAGGAAGUGCAUUCGAAACCACGAGGCUAGAGUCCCGGAGAGGAAGAUGGAAUUCUCGGUGUAGAGGUGAAAUUCGUAGAUAUCGGGAGGAACACCAGUGGCGAAAGCGAUCUUCUGGACGAGGACUGACGCU
rnacentral:rRNA from 1 species